AGGUAGCGAAAUUCCUUGUCGGGUAAGUUCCGACCUGCACGAAUGGCGUAACGAUUUGGGCGCUGUCUCAACCAUGGACCCGGUGAAAUUGUAUUAUUCGUGAAGAUGCGAAUUACCUGCGGAAGGACGGAAAGACCCCGUGAACCUUUACUGCAGCUUGACAUUGAUCGUUGGCUCGGCGCGUAGAGGAUAGGCAGGAGGCUUCGAAGCGGGGACGCCAGUUCCCGUGGAGCCGGCCUUGGAAUACUGCCCUCGUCGUGUCGGCGACCUAACCUGUGGCCGUGAUCCGGCACAGGGACCGUGUCAGGCGGGUAGUUUGACUGGGGCGGUCGCCUCCCAAAACGUAACGGAGGCGCGCAAAGGUCCGCUCAGAACGGUCGGCAACCGUUCGCAGAGCGCAAGAGUACAAGCGGGCUUGACUGCGAGGCGUACAGGCCGAGCAGAGACGAAAGUCGGUUCUAGUGAUCCGGCGGCACAGAGUGGAAUGGCCGUCGCUCAACGGAUAAAAGGUACUCCGGGGAUAACAGGCUGAUCUUGCCCAAGAGUCCACAUCGACGGCAAGGUUUGGCACCUCGAUGUCGGCUCAUCGCAUCCUGGGGCUGAAGUCGGUCCCAAGGGUUGGGCUGUUCGCCCAUUAAAGCGGUACGCGAGCUGGGUUCAGAACGUCGUGAGACAGUUCGGUCCCUAUCCUCCGCAGGCGCAAGAGGAUUGAGGAGGUCUGCCCCUAGUACGAGAGGACCGGGGUGGACGGACCUCUGGUGCAGCAGUUGUCGACCAACGGCACGGCUGCCUAGCUACGUCCGGCACGGAUAACCGCUGAAAGCAUCUAAGUGGGAAGCCGUCUCCAAGAUGAGUCCUCUUUCCGGUAAGGGCCCAGGCAGAACACCUGGUCGAUAGGCCGCAGGUGCAAGGCGUGCGAGCGCCUCAGCCGAGCGGUACUAAUAGCCCGAGCUCUUCUUCG
rnacentral:rRNA from 1 species